CAGAGAUUGGAGUGAUGGCCACAGUGGAAGCAAGGCCGCCUGCAGGCACCUAAAACUCAGAAACAGAUCCCCACCAAGAGGAUCUGCCAGCACAGCAGGUAGGCCUCAGACAAGGAGGAACUGCAGACUGACCUCUGACCACCACUCCUUGUUAUAAAUUUCUUCCUGCCAGGCCUGGAGAAACCCACCCACACAAGCCAGAGCUAACAUUCUUCUUUGCAGACCCCAAAUUUUUAAAUCAAGCUUUUCUUCCUUAACCUUUUGUAUAUCAGAAAAUCUUUUAAUCUACCUGUGACCUGUAAGACCCCUCUUCAAGACAUCCCACACUUUUAGGCCAGCACCACUGUGUAACCUCCAUGUAUUGAUUUUAAGUUUUUCCUGUAACUUCUGCUUUCCUGACUCAAAGGUGGAAGUGUGUCCAGAGUUGGUUCCUGCCAGUGGGUUUGUGGUCUCGCUGACUUCAAGAAUGAC
rnacentral:lncRNA from 1 species